GAAUUUGUCAGUUGGUCGGGCUUCAUUGUUCGUACUGACUUGAUGGAUUCUUACCUUCUGAAUAACCAGCAUGCUAUUAAGUUAGUGCGUUGGGGAAGCAGAUCUAUUACCUUGAAAAAAUUAGAGUGCUUAAAGCGGGCUAGUGCUUGAAUAGAUUAGCAUGGAAUAAUAAAAUAGGACGGCAUGGUUCUAUUUUGUUGGUUUCUAGGAUCACCGUA
rnacentral:rRNA from 1 species